CACACCUUCCACUUGAUGCAAUAAGUUCACUAUGGCUCCAAAAGCACUGGUCGUACUCGCUAUGUUAUCCCUGCUAUCCGCCAUUCUUAUUCAAGACGUCGAGAGCCUAACUGAAGAUGACUACAGACUGUUGUUGAGAGACGCUCGUCCAAAGACGUAUCCGCCAUCCCUCCCAAUCGGGAAAAAAAGGGUAUUACAAGAAGAAGAAUCAAGCAUAUGCAGAAAAGCUCGAUCCAUCGGUUGUUAGAUUCACAAUGGCGAUCGAUGCCUGCAACGAAGUCACACAUGACUCAAACAAAAAUAAAAUUGAAAUACAAUGAUUAAAAAAAUUCAAUCGUGAAAUAAAAAAAAAACAAUCUUA